rnacentral:rRNA from 1 species
UACAGAGGGGGCAAGCGUUGUUCGGAAUUACUGGGCGUAAAGGGCGCGUAGGCGGCCUUCUAAGUCGAACGUGAAAUCCCCGGGCUCAACCCGGGAACUGCGUCCGAUACUGGAAGGCUUGAAUCCGGGAGAGGGAUGCGGAAUUCCGAGGUGUAGCGGUGAAAUGCGUAGAUAAUCUGGAGGAACACCGGUGGCGAAGGCGGC